AGAAAUGCAUGAAACUCUCGCUAGGAUGGGAGUUUUAGCACAUGCUGAAGUAUUAUCAGCCACCCCAAAAUCAUAACAUGUUGGUGAGCAACGAACUACAAGCAGUAUUCUUCCUUUCCACCCAUCAAACAUUGAGUUUAAUCGAGUGCAUAUUUUUAUCCAACCUCAACUCACAAAAUGAAAACUCAUAAUCAAUUUAUAAACAGCAUUGUUCCCUUAUUUCUCUCAGUUCAAAUUUUUGAAAAAAUUAUGGGCAUAAUCAACAUAUAGGAAUAAAGGAUGUUACAUGUUCUAGAAGUUCAAGUACAAGAGCAUUUAAAAGCCGAAAGCACAAAUAGGUUCAUAUAUAACUGCAGAUGAUAUUCAGAAGUCACUUAUAUUGGAUUUUUUUCCUUGAGUCAUCCAGAGAACACAGAGGGGAAAAGUCUUGAGCCAGAUUUCGACAAAUUUGGAUAUGCAGGAAUUAUGCUAUCUCUAGUUGCUAGGAGGAAGAGAUGACCAAAGAUGUUGAAGAAAGAAGUAAACAUUAUGAGCCUGAGCUGGUAGCUUCAAGACCUGAUUUCUCAAAAUCAAUAGUAACAUUGAAUCCAACUUCACCCCCUGGUGUAAAAGCUGAUUCAAGCUCUUCAGUUGUUGUGUUAUCUUAAACUGGCUCUAUACCUUCAGUUUUUCCUGAUCUGAUAGCAAGUCAAGACAGUUCUCACCCAACCCAUUUAUGAGAAAACUAAGACAUAAUAAUGUUUAAGAGUGGCGUGCCUUUUUCAGAGUCUCCAAUGGUUACACCCACAA
rnacentral:lncRNA from 1 species